ensembl:snRNA U2 U2 spliceosomal RNA
AUCGCUUCUUGGCCUUUUAGCUAAGAUCAAAUGUAUUAUCUGUUCUUAAUGGGGUUUGUAGUUUGCUUUGGCCCCAGAACUGUCUUGACAGAGGGGGAUAGAUAUCUCACAAAACUACAAAUCCCAGAAUUCCAU